AUUGAACGCUGGCGGCGUGCCUAAUACAUGCAAGUCGAGCGAACUGAUUAGAAGCUUGCUCCUAUGACGUUAGCGGCGGACGGGUGAGUAACACGUGGGCAACCUGCCUGUAAGACUGGGAUAACUUCGGGAAACCGAAGCUAAUACCGGAUAGGAUCCUCUCCUUCAUGGGAGAUGAUUGAAAGAUGGUUUCGGCUAUCACUUACAGACGGGCCCGCGGUGCAUUAGCUAGUUGGUGAGGUAACGGCUCACCAAGGCAACGAGGCAUAGCCGACCUGAGAGGGUGAUCGGCCACACUGGGACUGAGACACGGCCCAGACUCCUACGGGAGGCAGCAGUAGGGAAUCUUCCGCAAUGGACGAAAGGCUGACGGAGCAACGCCGCGUGAGUGAUGAAGGCUUUCGGGUCGUAAAACUCUGUUGUUAGGGAAGAACAAGUACAAGAGUAACUGCUUGUACCUUGACGGUACCUAACCAGAAAGCCACGGCUAACUACGUGCCAGCCGCCGCAGUAA
rnacentral:rRNA from 1 species